rnacentral:rRNA from 1 species
AUUGAACGCUGGCGGCAUGCUUUACACAUGCAAGUCGAACGGUAACAGGCCGCAAGGUGCUGACGAGUGGCGAACGGGUGAGUAAUGCAUCGGAACGUGCCCAGUCGUGGGGGAUAACGCAGCGAAAGCUGUGCUAAUACCGCAUACGAUCUAUGGAUGAAAGCGGGGGACCGUAAGGCCUCGCGCGAUUGGAGCGGCCGAUGUCAGAUUAGGUAGUUGGUGGGGUAAAGGCCCACCAAGCCGACGAUCUGUAGCUGGUCUGAGAGGACGACCAGCCACACUGGGACUGAGACACGGCCCAGACUCCUACGGGAGGCAGCAGUGGGGAAUUUUGGACAAUGGGCGCAAGCCUGAUCCAGCAAUGCCGCGUUCAGGGAGAAGGCCUUCGGGUUGUAAACUGCUUUUGUACGGAACGAAACGGUCUGGGUUAAUACCCUGGGCUAAUGACGGUACCGUAAGAAUAAGCACCGGCUAACUACGUGCCAGCAGCCGCGGUAA